UUUGAGCGGGGCAAUAAUUGUUGUUUUAACCCUCAAUAUGGCGGCAUUGAAGAAGACAGAUCAUGAUGGACUUUGGACUUUUCAUAUACAGGGAAGAGAGAAAGUUGAUGAUGAAAAUGAUGGAGUUACUAAUGACAGCAAAAUAACAGAUGAGGAGCUUGUAGCUUUAAAAGACUCUCAUGUAUUUAAUGCUUACGUUUACAAGUAUUUCAUCUCCUGCUACUCGCA